rnacentral:rRNA from 1 species
GACAGAGGGUGCCGAGCGUUAGGCGGAAUCACUGGGCUUAAAGCGUGUGUAGGCGGACCGUUAAGUACCUUGUGGAAAUCCCCCGGCUCAACCGGGGGAACGGCUGGGUAUACUGGCGGUCUUGAGCCAUCCAGGGGCAGUCGGAACAGACGGUGGAGCGGUGAAAUGCGUAGAUAUACGUCUGGAACGCGAAGGUGAAA